rnacentral:rRNA from 1 species
GACGAACGCUGGCGGCGUGCCUAAUGCAUGCAAGUCGCACGCGGCACCUUCGGGUGCUGAGUGGCGAACGGCUGAGGAACACGUGGGGACCUGUCCGGGAGUGGGGGACAACACCGCGAAAGCGGUGCUAAUCCCGCACACGCUCUGAGGAGGAAAGCCGAAAGGCGCUCCCGGGUGGCCCUGCGGCCCAUCAGGUUGUUGGUGGGGUAACGGCCUACCAAGCCAAUGACGGAUCGCUGGUCUGUGAGGACGACCAGCCAGACUGGGACUGGGACACGGCCCAGACUCCUACGGGAGGCAGCAGCAAGGAAUUUUCGGCAAUGGGCGCAAGCCUGACCGAGCAACGCCGCGUGCAGGAAGACGGCCUUCGGGUUGGAAACUGCUUUUGCUAGGGAUGAUAACAGACAGUACCUGGCGAAUCAGCCCCGGCUAACUCGGUG